GUUUAGCUGAUGAAUUAAACUGUCUCUAGAAAGAGAUGGCAUUUCUAUAAAGACCUUAUGUGGCACAAAAAAAUGUGAAUUUUAUCUUGGGUUUAGUUAUUGGUGAUACUUUAGCAUUCUUUUAGCCUCAUACUUUAAGUACUAAUUGUUUUUAUAAUUUUAGCAAAUAUUUUUCAGCUAAUUAUUUCUGUAGAUGUUCGCAAAAAUAAUAAAUUAGUUACCAAAU